GAGAGACUCAGUGAGGCUUGAGGAGCAAAGAUCUUUAUCAAAGAAUCUUUUAACAUUACUCUCUUUUUCAGUCCUUCUACGACUCCGCAGUAUUGUUCAUUCCCUGGCUGGGUUUAGGUUAGGUUCGUUAAGCUUAGAUUGGAUUGGGCUAGGUUAGAUUAGGUUAACUCUACAAUGAUGCUUCAGGGAAUAUGGAGCUGAGUGUAGCAACCUCCUCCAUCACUACUGACAACAAUGGCGCAGUGCAAAGUGCAUCUCAUAUUUGCUGUAAACAAACGUAACAAACCUAACAAAACAAAAUCUAACCCGAAAAUCUGUCCCGAAAAUCCCUCUAAUCACAUUCAAUCCCUUGCCUUUCAACUCUCUCUCUUCAUUGCUCAUCCACUCUACUGGUCCAUUUUAGUUAGCAUAGUCACAGCAACUGAGUCUUACGUGUGGCACAACGAACCACCACUAUAAACACUUGCCUGCGCCAUGACGGGCUGGGGCCGAACACCAUCCAGGCCCCUCAAGCAAACCUACCAGCGCUAUAGGCGUAGACGUAAAAUAAAUAAAAAAUAAUAAAAAAGAAAAUAAAUAAAUAAAUAAACAAAAAAUAAAUAAAUAAAUAAAUAAAUAAAUAAAUAAAUAAAUAAAUAAUGUGCUCUGGCAGCCUGCAGUCAUACGAUGUGUCCGAUUUCAUGUAUAAUACAGUAAUGCCUCGGUUUACGAGUGUCUUGAUUUACGAGUGACAAAUGAUCACUAAAAUUGCCUUGGUUUACGAGCAGUGACUUGGUGGAUGAGCAUCCUGUUUGUACAUGUGGAAGACGUAAGCGUGGGUUCCCUUUGUUCACCGCAAGACAAGAACGCUCAAAGUGGAAAACAAUGGGAAUGGGUCCUCAGUCCACGUUGUACACUCACAGAGGUAGCACACGCGCACUCAUGUCCUCUUAAAUUUGUGCUCUAGUGUGCUAUCUUUGUCAAAUAUGUGAGCUUGGGCACCAAAAGGAUUAAGAAAAUGACCCUAUGCCUCACCCACCCAACUACUUCUUCAUCCCCUUCUUAUGGCAUUACACCCACACCAAACAAACUAUGAUUAUGCAGUCUGUCUGUGGCUGUCUGUGUGACUGCAGAGGUGUAUAAAUGGCAGAAGGGCUUUAAUAAGGGAGAUAUCAAUAAGGCUCUAAUGGUAAGAGAGCCAGGUAGGACAUGUAGUUAUGGGUUAAAGUUGGAGAAAUUCAGAUUUAACAAGAUCAUAGGCAAGGAUUGGUUCACCAACAGAGUAGUGGAUGAGUGGAACAGGCUUGGCAGUCAUGUUGUGAGUGCCAAUACAAUAGACACAUUCAAGAUUAGAUAAAUUCAUGGAUAGUGAUGUUAGGUGGGGUUAGGUUCACUGGAGCUGCCUUGCAUAGACCUACUGGCCUCUUGCAGACUCCAUAUGUUCUUAUGUUCCUCGUAUAAACAGAAUGCAAAAAUAGUUUUCUUUUUGCCUUUGCUUUUUUUUGUCAUAAACCAAGACGUUUUUGUGAUUUUUUUUGCUCGUAAAUCAAAACACUCAUAAAGGCAUUCAUAAACCAAGGUAUUUUUAGUGAUUUUUUUUGCUCGUAAAUAAAAACACUCAAAAAGGCAUUCAUAAACCAAGGUAUUUUUAGUGAUUUUUUUUGCUCGUAAAUAAAAACACUCAAAAAGGCAUUCAUAAACCAAGGUAUUUUUAGUGAUUUUUUUUGCUCGUAAAUAAAAACACUCAUAAAGGCAUUCAUAAACCAAGGUAUUUUUAGUGAUUUUUUUUGCUCGUAAAUAAAAACACUCAUAAAGGCAUUCAUAAACCAAGGUAUUUUUAGUGAUUUUUUUUGCUCGUAAAUAAAAACACUCAUAAAGGCAUUCAUAAACCAAGGUAUUUUUAGUGAUUUUUUUUGCUCGUAAAUAAAAACACUCAUAAAGGCAUUCAUAAACCAAGGUAUUUUUAGUGAUUUUUUUUGCUCGUAAAUAAAAACACUCAUAAAGGCAUUCAUAAACCAAGGUAUUUUUAGUGAUUUUUUUUGCUCAUAAAUAAAAACACUCGUAAAGGCAUUCAUAAACCAAGGUAUUACUAUACUUCACCUCUUCAACCUCAACCAAAACGUCAUCUACGAGGCACCUUGAAUAACCACACACCAAUCCAGC